GAUGAACGCUGGCGGCGUGCCUAAUACAUGCAAGUCGAGCGAACGGACGAGAAGCUUGCUUCUCUGAUGUUAGCGGCGGACGGGUGAGUAACACGUGGAUAACCUACCUAUAAGACUGGGAUAACUUCGGGAAACCGGAUCUAAUACCGGAUAAGAUUUUGAACCGCAUGGUUCAAAAGUGAAAGAGGGACUUGCUGUCACUUAUAGAUGGAUCCGCGCUGCAUUAGCUAGUUGGUAAGGUAACGGCUUACCAAGGCAACGAUGCAUAGCCGACCUGAGAGGGUGAUCGGCCACACUGGAACUGAGACACGGUCCAGACUCCUACGGGAGGCAGCAGUAGGGAAUCUUCCGCAAUGGGCGAAAGCCUGACGGAGCAACGCCGCGUGAGUGAUGAAGGUCUUCGGAUCGUAAAACUCUGUUAUUAGGGAAGAACAUAUGUGUAAGUAACUGUGCACAUCUUGACGGUACCUAAUCAGAAAGCCCCGGCUAACUACGUG
rnacentral:rRNA from 1 species